rnacentral:rRNA from 1 species
UACGUAGGGUGCGAGCGUUGUCCGGAAUUACUGGGCGUAAAGAGCUCGUAGGUGGUUUGUCGCGUUGUCCGUGAAAACUCACAACUCAAUUGUGGGCGUGCGGGCGAUACGGGCAGACUGGAGUACUGCAGGGGAGACUGGAAAUUCCUGGUGUAGCGGUGGAAUGCGCAGAUAUCAGGAGGAACACCGGUGGCGAAGGCGGGUCUCUGGGCAGUAACUGACGCUGAGGAGCGAAAGCGUGGGGAGCGAACAGG